GUGAAAUUGUUGAAAGGGAAACGAUUGAAGUCAGUCGUACCGACGAGGAAUCAACCUUUUGAGGGUGGAUAUGUGGGAUACAAAGUGCCUUUGUUUUUCGCAACAUCUGCUUUUUUUGGGUGCACUUUCUCGUAUGGUUGGUCAGCAUCGGUUUUGAUCGUUAUAAAAUGACAGGAGGAAUGUAGCUUCGAUCUCGUAUUGAAGUGUUAUUAUAGCCUUUGGUAGAUGUAACGGUUAGGAUCGAGGAUUGCAACGGAUAUCCUCAAGGGCUAACCGCCUGGCCUCUGAUUUGUCACUCUGGUGCCGAAAGCUUGCUUAUGGUAUCAAAGUGUACGGUCAAAAGGUUAGAACGGAAUAAAUUCGUUAAGGAUGUUGACGUAAUGGCUUUAAACGAC
rnacentral:rRNA from 1 species